rnacentral:misc_RNA from 1 species
AAAUUGGAUUGUUGCUCACUUACAACUUCUGGGGUAACAGCCAUUGCAAAUUGGCGUGCAUCACUUAAGGAGCUGAGCUUGAGCAAGUGUGCAGGCGUGACUGAUGAGUGUCUCUCCAUCCUUGUGCAAAAACACAAGCAGUUGAGGAAAUUAGACAUCACAUGCUGCCGCAAGAUAACUUAUGCAUCCAUUGACAGCAUUACGAGUUCAUGUUCUUCCCUCGUUUCCCUUAAAAUGGAAUCUUGUAGUUUAGUUCCUAGAGAGGCUUAUGUGUUGGUAGGAGAACGCUGUCCAGA